rnacentral:rRNA from 1 species
GAUGAACGCUGGCGGCGUGCCUAAUACAUGCAAGUCGAGCGAACAGACGAGGAGCUUGCUCCUCUGACGUUAGCGGCGGACGGGUGAGUAACACGUGGAUAACCUACCUAUAAGACUGGGAUAACUUCGGGAAACCGGAGCUAAUACCGGAUAAUAUAUUGAACCGCAUGGUUCAAUAGUGAAAGACGGUUUUGCUGUCACUUAUAGAUGGAUCCGCGCCGCAUUAGCUAGUUGGUAAGGUAACGGCUUACCAAGGCGACGAUGCGUAGCCGACCUGAGAGGGUGGUCGGCCACACUGGAACUGCGACACGGUCCAGACUCCUACGGGAGGCAGCAGUAGGGAAUCUUCCGCAAUGGGCGAAAGCCUGACGGAGCAGCGCCGCGUGAGUGAUGAAGGUCUUCGGGUCGUAAAACUCUGUUAUUAGGGAAGAACAAAUGUGUAAGUAACUAUGCGCGUCUUGACGGUACCUAAUCAGAAAGCCACGGCUAACUACGUG